GGAAGGGUCGCAUAGCGGUUUAUUGCGCCGGUCUUGAAAACCGGUGCCCUCACGGGCUUCGUGGGUUCGAAUCCCACCCCUUCCG
rnacentral:tRNA from 2 species